rnacentral:lncRNA from 1 species
AUUAUACCCUUUUUGAACCUUACCUUAAACAGGAUAAAAACCCUUGAUUUGAAAUUAUUGACCUUGAGUUGGGUUGAGAUUAAUUGCAUGUGUUCAAAAGGUUCAAGUUUGGGGCUGUAUAGGAAAAGUUGAAUGGCAAAAGAGUAGCAUUGAGCUCAAGUGUUGAAAAAGAAAAAUGCAUGAGAAAAAGAAAGAAAGAAAAGAAAAGAAAAAAGCAUGAAAGAUGAGCUCAAUGUAAAAAUAAAAGAAAAGGGAAGAAGUUGGGAAUUGGUGAGAUUGGUGAAAAAGAGAGUUGUGCUUGAACUUUGAAUGUUAAAAUAUUUCUCUUAACUCAAGGAUUUUGUAUUCCGAAAAAACCAAUUUUUCUUGAUAGCCCAGCCUCAUUACAAGCCUUGGAAAAGUCCUUGUGAUGGCAUUUGCAUGUGAGGAUUUUCAUUGUUUUAGAUGAAUGACAAUGUUGUUUUAUGUGACAUGUGAACUGUAGAAGAGUGGAGUGACCUUCUAAACACUUGAGAGAUUGAGUGAAACACUUGCUUGGUGAGAAUUGUUGAAAUCCAUGUUUACAUCUAUGCUUAGUGAAUUGAUCAUUCAUAAAUGAAACAUCUGUUGGGAAAUAUGUGCUUAUGUGAACUGAAUUGGAUUGAAAGCAUGCAUGCAUUUUGAUAGGAUUCCACUG